ACAUGAUGAAAAAUAACUACUUUGAUUUCUUCGAUUUCACAGAUACUAUUUGAACUGAACUGAGCUGGAUGAUGAGAUCACUGAAUCAAUAAAGAAAACUGGAAAAUUGAGUUUCCAGUUGCUUCAUUACCACACUACUGUAGCUAUUCCUGCACCAUGGUGAGGUGACUGCUCCUGUUCUCUUGAUUCGUGGGACAUGAGAACUCCUAAUGGCUUUCAGCACCAACAAGAG
ensembl:lncRNA